rnacentral:snRNA from 1 species
AUCACUUCUCGGCCUUUUGGCUAAGAUCAAGUGUAGUUUCUGUUCUUAUCAGUUUAAUAUGAUAUAUAUAUAUAUAUAUAUAUAUAUAUAUAUUCAGCAAUA